rnacentral:lncRNA from 1 species
UGCCCCCUUUCAAAUGCAUUGAUCGUCUAAAAAGUUUAAGAUUCGACGGUUUUCUCCAACAAUAUGGUUUGAUAAAUUUCUUUCGAAGUUCAUUAUACUUUUCACAUACUAAAAUAAAAUGAUAUUCAUCUUCAAUUACUUGUUUAUCACACCAUAUUACAAAAUCUCGGAUAUCUCUCAAUAUUAUAAAAUCGACAAGUUUCUUUAUUCAAACAGUGAACAGACUGAUUUAUGCGGUAUUUACAAAUAAAUGGUUUUAUAAAUAUAAUUUACAGCAUG